GAGGUUUGUUGAAGGAAGAUGAAAAAGCGCUCAGUCUCAUUUCUUUCGUCUGACUUCAUCACGGCAAGUUUCUCCUUCGAUUGAAAAUCAUCAUGACAAGUUUCUCUUUCGAUUGAGCUUAUUCUCCUUCGCAGUAACGAUACACGAAGCGCUCUCAGUCCCACACGAAGCUCAAUAUUCGUUUAAUUUGGUGGAUCACUUCAAGAAAUAACUUCAAGGAUUCAAUUGCCGUUCUCUUCAUCAAAGCUUUAAGGUUCGAAUCUGUCCUUCUUCUCGUAUAUUCAGAUUCUGUUUGUUGAAUUGAUUGAAUGAGAAUUAAGAUUAAUUUCGAAUUUGUGUUUCUUCUCGUAUAUUCAGAUACUGUUUGUUGAAUUGAUUGAAUGAGAAUUAAGAAUUACCAAUGAUGAUCCAUUUUCUA